AUACCUUUCUCGGCCUUUUGGCUAAGAUCAAGUGUAGUAUCUGUUCUUAUCAGUUUAAUAUCUGAUACGUGGGCCAUCGGUCCGCAUGAUAUUAAAUUUAUUUUUCUAGGGGGAAGACCCACCGCAGUAGCUUGCUACUGGGGUCCUCGCGCGUCGCCUAUGCGUUGCACUACUGCACGGGCCUGGCGCACCCCAC
rfam:Nelumbo nucifera unplaced genomic scaffold scaffold00004, whole genome shotgun sequence